AACGAACGCUGGCGGCAGGCUUAACACAUGCAAGUCGAGCGCCCCGCAAGGGGAGCGGCAGACGGGUGAGUAACACGUGGGAAUCUACCCAUCACUACGGAACAACUCCGGGAAACUGGAGCUAACACCGUAUACGUCCUUCGGGAGAAAGAUUUAUCGGUGAUGGAUGAGCCCGCGUUGGAUUAGCUAGUUGGUGGGGUGAAGGCCUACCAAGGCGACGAUCCAUAGCUGGUCUGAGAGGAUGAUCAGCCACACUGGGACUGAGACACGGCCCAGACUCCUACGGGAGGCAGCAGUGGGGAAUAUUGGACAAUGGGCGCAAGCCUGAUCCAGCCAUGCCGCGUGAGUGAUGAAGGCCCUAGGGUUGUAAAGCUCUUUCACCGGUGAAGAUAAUGACGGUAACCGGAGAAGAAGCCCCGGCUAACUUCGUGCCAGCCGCCGCGGUAACAC
rnacentral:rRNA from 1 species